CCCCUAAAAUAUUGAAGGUGAAACCUGCCCAAUGAUAUAAAAAUAAUUAUAACCUAAUUUAAAUAAUAUUAAAUGGAUGCAGUAACUCUGACUGUAAUAAAGUAGCAUAAUUAGUUGUCAUUUAAUUGAUGGAGAGAAUGAAUGGUUACACGAAUAUUUCACUGUCUUAAAAAAAAUUUUUUAAAAUUGAAAUAAUAGUUAAGAUGCUAUUUAAAAUUGUAAGACGAAGAGACCCUAUAGAGCUUUACUAUAAACUUUUUUUUAAAUAAAUAAUAAAAAAAUUAUCUUAUUCAGAAAGUUUGGUAGUUUAGUUGGGGCGACUGUUUUUUAGAAAUAACAAAAAUAAGCAAUAUAAUAAAUUUAUUUAUUGUAUAAUUAAACAAUUUAACAAUUACUAUAGUAGGCUAUAAUGACCCGUUAUUAUGAUAAACAACAAAUAACGAUUAAUUAAUAAAAGCUACCUUAGGGAUAACAGGAUAAUUUUGUCUUAGAGUCCUUAUCAAAAACAAAGUUUGUCACCUCUAUGUUGAAUUAAGAUAUCCUAAUAAUGCAGUAGUUAUUGAGGGUAGGUCUGUUCGACCUUUAAAAU
rnacentral:rRNA from 1 species